AUGAAGGUUAGUCAGCUUUGUCCUCGUCGGAGAGCGUCGGAGAGUUGUGUUUCCCGACUCCGUCUGACCAGACCUACAUUGUUAUACAAGCCCUAUAUUACAUUUUCUUCUCCUGGCCAACGAUUUGCUACGCUGAUUGUGGUCACCAGCAUCUUCAGGUCUACAUUGAUGAUUCCUCAACCAUUGCUUCCACAAGCUUCUAUGUUUAAACAAGUUUUCUCCCUUGAGACAGAGACCCAGAAACAACAACGAACUUUGCUCACGGUGCGCCACCAAUGGAUGCAAGAGGAAGAAGGCUUCGGUACCCCAAAGAUUUGA
rnacentral:rRNA from 1 species